rnacentral:rRNA from 1 species
UCCCUACGGGGCGCAGCAGUGGGGAAUAUUGGGCAAUGGGCGCAAGCCUGACCCAGCAACGCCGCGUGAAGGAAGAAGGCUUUCGGGUUGUAAACUUCUUUUGUCAGGGAAGAGUAGAAGACGGUACCUGACGAAUAAGCCACGGCUAACUACGUGCCAGCAGCCGCGGUAAUACGUAGGUGGCAAGCGUUGUCCGGAUUUACUGGGUGUAAAGGGCGUGUAGCCGGGUUGACAAGUCAGAUGUGAAAUCCUGCGGCUUAACCGCAGAACUGCAUUUGAAACUGUUAUUCUAGAGUAUGGGAGAG